rnacentral:rRNA from 1 species
GUUGACCUCGGAUCAGGUAGGACUACCCGCUGAACUUAAGCAUAUCAAUAAGCGGAGGAAAAGAAACCAACAGGGAUUGCCCCAGUAACGGCGAGUGAAGCGGCAACAGCUCAAAUUUGAAAUCUGGCCCCAGGCCCGAGUUGUAAUUUGCAGAGGAUGCUUUUGGCGCGGUGCCUUCCGAGUUCCCUGGAACGGGACGCCAUAGAGGGUGAGAGCCCCGUACGGUUGGACACCAAGCCUUUGUAAAGCUCCUUCGACGAGUCGAGUAGUUUGGGAAUGCUGCUCUAAAUGGGAGGUACAUUUCUUCUAAAGCUAAAUAUUGGCCAGAGACCGAUAGCGCACAAGUAGAGUGAUCGAAAGAUGAAAAGCACUUUGAAAAGAGGGUUAAACAGCACGUGAAAUUGUUAAAAGGGAAGCGCUUGUGACCAGACUUGCGUCCGGUGAAUCACCCAGCUCUCGCGGCUGGGGCACUUCGCCGGCACAGGCCAGCAUCAGCUUUGCCGUCGGGGACAAAAGCUUCAGGAACGUGGCUCCUCUCGGGGAGUGUUAUAGCCUGUUGCAUAAUACCCUUCGGCGGGCUGAGGUACGCGCUCCGCAAGAAUGCUGGCGUAAUGGUCAUCAGCGA